UCCUCCAAUCAGAGCGCAGGACCGCGCCUGUUCUCUUGGCACCGUUUACCAAAUUCGUCCAUUAGAUUCUGAGCGCGCGCGCGGCCGGGUUAAAUCGGCUAAAGCUGAUUGCCAUGGUGACGUCGCAUCCUCUCUCCAGCAUCUGGAACAUCAUGAAGAGACCCAGUCCAAUCCUGUACAUGUACAGUCCUGUGUAGGGAGCAGCUAAGAUCUGAUUAAGGAAAUCAAAGAAGGACAACAAGUGAGUGCAUGUAAUGAAAUUAGAAGCACCUCCUGUCUGCUGAUCAAAUUCCAGACCUGCACUCCAGAGCACAAUUAUCAGUUUAAACGAUCGGAUAAAUUCAGUUUGUUUUCAAAGAUUAACAAAAGAUGUAUCCUGGUCACGACAGGAGAUGGAUCAGAAACAUUAAUGUGGGCUGUUGAAACAUUUCAUUCAUUCGUUCGUUUGUGCGUUCGUUCGUUCGUUCAUUCGUUCUUUCAUUCAUUUGUUUGUUCUUUUGUUUGUUUGACUUUGUGCAUUUUAAACCUUUGUAUAAGCCACUGAAUAAUGUGAAUCUUUAUACUUUGAAUCUUUUUGUACAAUAUCAUUAUU